AUUUGGGAUAACGUCGCCAUCGCCCUGCAUGUGGACAAACAGAUGCUGAUGUUUGAUGCUGAUCAGCUGAGAAAGAACCUCAAGUUCUGCCCUCAAGGCACACCAGCAAUCGGGACUUUCGAUAGUUUCGAGGAAGCUAAAGACCAGGUUGAGAGUUUGUGGCCGGACUGUGACUCCCCACUGCAGAAGGAGUGUUCACUAAAGUAGCGUUUCACAGGUGUUACAGCUGCAACUCACUGAGUCGUACUGACUUCAUGAUCGCCAGCAUUUUAAAAUUUCUUUUUUUUUUUUAAGUUUUUAGUCAUUCACUAAAAGUUUCAAGUCAUUUUUUACUUUUUUUGUUUGUGUGGGGUUUUUUAAAAAUACAUUUUGGGCACAUUUUUAGUCACGUUGGACAAGCUUUGGAUUAUUUUGGAAAAAACUGACUCGACACACUCAAAAAAGGGAAAGAAAACAAUGUCCACAGCAAAAAUGUUUGAAAAUAAGGAGCUAUUUAUUAUAACAUUAAAUUUCUUUAAAGCUCAGAAACAAAAAGGCUGAUGAUGUUACAGAUAAACUCAGGAUGAAUGGGGUCUUGGAUGUGAGUUGUGGUCAAAAGACUGUCUCUGUCUGGAAGGCCACACCUUCCUGGCAGUCUCCCAUGCUUUUAUCCCCAUCCUUCAGCCACUCGAUGGGGUUAACUCAAGAAGAACAGAAAUUAAUAAAGAAGGAAAACAAUCAUUCUGGCUCCUACAAUGUGCAUGUUCCAUCAGAUCUCUGAUCCACUGUUCGUACCAUUCAGCCUGUAUAUGUACUGCAUAUAUCUCACAUUGUUUCUACAGCCUGCACCACUAUCGGCACCUUUAUAUGUGCAUUUGUCCAGCUUUCUAUUAAUGUAUGUUAUCUACAGCUUUUACAUGUAAUGCUUCGUGGUGUUUGUACCACUCUGUUUAUACACUGGAGGCCGUAUGCUAACACUGCCAGUGAUGCACUUUUUUCUUCUUCUUUUGCACUUCUGGUUAAAUUGCUGUCGUAAUACUUGUACUGUGUGCAAUGACAAUAAAGUUGAAGCUAAUUUAAUCAAA